UACGAGACAUGUUUUUAUUAUUAUUUGUAGGUUAUGUUGUAAUUUUAGCAGAAAAUAAUGGUUGUGUUUACUUAUAAUCAAUAAUUAUUAGUUUGCAAGUUAUAUGAAUAUGUUAGCUACAAAAGCCAUAGUUUUAAAAUAAAAUUAUUUUUCAAAAUCGAUUUGAGCUAGAUUUGAGCUAGCUGUAUGAUAACAUAAAAUAAUGAUGAAGAUUGAUGUUAUUCUUCACUGUACCAGGUUCCAGAAAACAUGCAGUCUGUAAUCUACCCCCAUGUCAGUGUAGAGAGGCCUGUUCAUGAAGACACAAAAUCCUUCGACGACACCAAAACAUAUUACACAGUGUAGAUGGGCGGAUAGAAAGCGUGAACAUCAAAAGCCAUCGUGUGUGUUACCCAGUUUCCAUUCUGCAUCUAAAAUAGGAACCAAGCAUCCAACAUCAUAACUUUAUUAUUAUAUAGUCCAGACAAUGAAUGCUCAAAAGAGGGUAUAGAGAGAAAAGUUUGGAAGACUAUAUUUGACCCCGCAAUUUUGUUUUGGGUAUUAAGGAGGUAAAAAUAUCCCCACCCCUACCCCUUGUGAUGGUGGGGGUGGGGUGGUUCAAAGGUACCAGUUUUUGGUUUCUCGCAUAUAACUCGAAAACUAUGUAUCUUACGGACAUAACUGUUACAUACAAAAGUGAACUUACUUACUUACUCCAUGGCACUACAGCCCAUCCAGGGCCUUGGCCUCUUCAAGAAUGCCUCACCACUCCUCUCUGUCGGCAGUCUUGCGUCUCCAUCCCCUAACGCCUAUUUUCCGGAGAUCAUCUUCCACAUCCUCCAGCCAGCGCUUGCGUGGACGUCCUUUCAACUUUCUUCCGCCUGGUUUUUCUCUGAAAACUUUUUUCACGGCUCUUUCAUCGCUCAUACUUUCUACAUGACCCAACCAGCUCAAGCGUCUCACUUUGAUCUCAUGUACAAUAGGUGGUUUUCUGUACAGGUCACGCAGCUCUUGAUUCGAACGAAGUCUCCAUUCUCCAUCAAUACAUACUGGACCAUAUAUUCUUCUCAGAAUCUUCCGUUCCCAUAUACUCAGUAGGUCUUCAUCCUUCUUUUUCAAAACCAAGGUUUCUGCCCCGUAUAACACAACUGGCUUUAUAACAGUUUCAUAGAUUUGUUGUUUAAUUUUCCUUGACAGUGUUUUGGAUCUCAAGUAUUGGCUAAGUGCAUAAUAACAUCGAUUUCCUGCCGCUAUUUUUGCUUUUAUAUCAACUUCAACAUCGUUAUCUUCUGUGAUAAUAGAACCAAGAUAUUUGAAGCUUUCCACUCUUUCGAAUAUGUAAUUAUUGCACUCUAUGAAUCUGUCACCAAUCUGCCGGGCUCUGCUGCUUGCCAGAUACUCUGUUUUACUCUCAUUAAUUGAGAGUCCCAUUUCUGUUGAUCCGUCAUCGAGCUGUUUGAAGGCAUCUUUUAGAGUUUGGAUGUUUCUUGCAAUCAAGACUACGUCAUCCGCAUAGGCCAUGUACUGCAACAUUCUGUUCAUUAUCGUUCCUCUUGGAUUUAUUACUAUUCCUCUUAUUACUUUCUCCAGGCUCAAGUUGAACAGCAUAGCUGACAAAACAUCACCCUGUCUAAGUCCUACAUUUGCUGUGAAUUCGUCUGUGAGCAUUCCUUGAACUUUCACCUUAUACUUUGUUUGGCGCAGUGUCAUUGUUGUGAGCCGUAUGAGCAUUCCGUAAGGCAUUCCAAACUCCAACAUAGUCUCAAACAAGCUAUUUGUUCUGAUGCUGUCAAAGGCUCGCUUGUAAUCGACGUAUAGUUGAUACAUAACACUUUUCUUUCAUGUUUCUUCUGGUGAAAACAUGAUCUGUGCAUGAUCUGUCUUUCCGGUAUCCACACUGGUAAUCACCUAGCACUUCAUUACAAAAAGGUUUCAAUUUUUCACAAAUUAUCUUCGCCAAGAUUUAUAAACAAUGCUCAACAAAGCGAUUCCUCGAUAAUUGGAACAGUCUGUUCUACUUCCUUUUUUGUGGACGGGGCAUAUUAUUGCAGUUUGCCAUUCUUCAGACAUUACUUCCUCCACCCACACCUGUUUUACAAAGUGAAGUAGCCAUUCCAUUAGAGCAUCGUUCCCUACUUUAAUCAUCUCGGCUGUUAUAAGAUCAUCUCCAGGUGCUUUAUUAUUUUUGAGAGAAUGAAUAGCCAUUUUCAAAUCACACAUUGUGGGUUCCUCUAUCGGUUGAUCUGGCCCUAUAAUGUUGAUAUUUUCUCCCUCCUCAACAUUUUGAUUCAACAACUCAUAAAAAUAUUAUUUCCAUCGUUCUAAAAUCUGUCCUUCUCCUCCUAUCAAAUUUCCAUCCUUAUCUUGACAGAAUGUUGUUCUAGGCUGGAAUCCAGCUUUUCCUUCUCUGAUGCGUAGAUACAUCUUUCUCACUUCUCUUUCUCCAGCGAAGGUCAUGAUUUCAUCUAUCCUGCGUUUCUCAAACUCUCUCUUCUUUUUACGACAGAUCUUGCUAGCAUGUCUCCUUUUUUCAUGAUAAGCUACAGUUGCGGCCCUAGUUUUCCGACUUAUCAUUUUCAGUCUUGCUAGAUUUCUAUCUUCCAAAGCCUUCAAACACUCAUCAUCCAUCCAGUUAUUUCUCUUUUCUAUCUUUUCAUAUCCGAUUUUCUCCUGUGCAGCUUCUGUUACAGCCUUCUUGAAAUUCUCUCACUUUUGCUCAACUGUGUCCUCUCUUCCUUGGUUCUCUGCUAAUUUCUCCAUAAGUUUAUGAUUGUAUCUCUCCCUAGCUUCAUUUUCUCUUAUAAGCCUUUUGCUGUCAAAUUUCUUUUGUUUCACUCCUCGGAAUUUCUUCAUGUUGUUUAUUCUCUGUCUGUAUUUUAUUUUAACCAAAUAAUGAUCUGUAGCACAGUCUGCCCCUCGCUAACUUCGCACAUCUAAUAUGUCAGAUCCAUGCCUCUUGUCAAUCAAAUUCUUUCAUUGAUAGCAUCAAAACAUAUUACUCUAUCCUUAUAUUUUUUAUGUACAAGAAAACCAGUUCCAAAAGUAUUUUGUGUGUGGCCACUAUAAAAUAAUGUAUAAUUUUCUAUAUCUAUCAUUCCAUUUCCUUUCCAUCUAAUUUCCUACAAGGCAGCAAUCCCUACUCCAUACGUUUCCAUAACUCUCCUCAGCACAGCUGUGUUCCCUGCCCUGUACAAACUUCUUACAUUCCAGGUGGCAAGAGAAAGAUCUCUGUCUUUUUUGGGGCUUUUGCAUCUUUCCAUUAUUCUUUUUCGAUUGUUGGCUAUCCGUAUAUUGUUCCUGUAAAUCCGGUCCCAUUCCGAGGCAUCUUGAGGUUGCGUAACAAUACUGUUUUCCGGGGCAAGGUGGUUAGCCUUGCGCCCAACCCCCAACCUGGGGGACCAGGGUCCUUUUUUAGAGUUGCCAUCUCCUAGGUACUUGCUUCCACUACAGCUUUCAGAGCGUAACCUACCCUGGAUUUAAUUUGGGUUAACUCCCUAGGUUCAUCUGCCCUCUCUGCCGUUGGGAUUUCUCCUCAUCCGCCUCCAAGGCCGUUGACCGGCUUGCUAGUUUUGGUCCACCCCAGCUAUUUAAUUUCACCGGUACCUCCCAUAUCUGGGAGGCAUUCCCCUAUCCGCCACCUGGGGAGGCGCCCGAUGGAGGACUAGCAAACUCUCACGGGAUACAAAAGUAAAGCUUAUAUAAUUUCCUUCAAUAUUCAACUCACAACUUUUCUAGUUUUUGAGAUAUCCACUCUUAAAUGUGUGACAUUUUUGAAAAAAAGCACGUUCGCCUCCAAUUUUUUUCUAUUUCUAUUCUUAUAACUUUUUAAAAAUUGAUGGGAAAAAUCAAUGCAGAUUAUGAGCUCAUAGAGCCUCUUUCAGGAAUUAUAACUCUCCAACAAUGCAUCGUAAAAAUCAAUGCUUAUCAUAGGUUUGUAGAGCAUCAAAUUCUCUUUGAAAUGGUGUAUUACUUCACUAUUCAAAGUUUCUGUUUCAUUAUUAUAGCAACUUUAAUGUAGGGGAUGAAAUUUCCAAUGCUGCAACAAUUAUUCAUUUGGCAUUGAAAUUUGAAGAGGGUGUCUGUGACACAAUUUUUGACGUUGCAGCUUAAUUUUGACUAGUUAGUAGAUUAACAUAGCAAAAGUGCACAUCUUUAUCCCCUCUGUUGAAGGUUUGGAACCGCUGAGUUGACACUAGUUGCAAUAUUGAAAAUGUUGCUACAUUGCACUAUCAUUUUUGAUCAUUUGUUACAUCGCACAACUAUUAUAUGAAUACUUUCUAUUGUUGUAAACAACUUGAAUCAAUUGACAAUUCCUUUUUACUGCUUAUUCAAAUUCACUAUUUGUUAUUUUUGAUUUUCAUUAAACGUCCUUUCUCCUACUUAGUGCAGUCAUCAUAACUUUUAAGGCCAUUUGUAAAGUGCCACUUAUAUCAAUAAAUGCAAUCAUUUGUUAUUGU